rnacentral:rRNA from 1 species
UACAGAGGUCUCAAGCGUUGUUCGGAUUCAUUGGGCGUAAAGGGUGCGUAGGCGGCGCGGUAAGUCGGGUGUGAAAUCUCGGGCUUAACUCCGAAACUGCAUUCGAUACUGCCGUGCUUGAGGACUGGAGAGGAGACUGGAAUUUACGGUGUAGCGGUGAAAUGCGUAGAUAUCGUAAGGAAGACCAGUGGCGAAGGCGACUACCUGGCCUGUUCUUGACGCUGAGGCGCGAAAGCUAGGGGAGCAAACGGG